rnacentral:lncRNA from 1 species
CCUGUAACAAGUUAGUCCAAUAACAUAUAACAGAUAUAUAACAGAUAUUGAACUAAGAUGUCCUGCCUCCCAAAAUGCAAUAUGCAACACCUGUACUUAUGCAAGUAGAUUAUUUUAAUUCUACUCGAAGCCAUUCUUUACACUUUGUUAUUUCAUUAUCCUUUCUUACAUUACGCUCAUUGGCGAAUCUUUACUCUUUAUUCCUUAUCAUUUUUUACACUAUGCCCAUUGGCGAUUCUUUAUUCAUUAACAUUCUUAAUUAUUACUAGUAUUCUUAUUCUUUGCCAUA